rnacentral:lncRNA from 1 species
UUGAGUCGACUCGAGCCAGCGACUAAAAGCAUUCUCUUCGGCGGCUCGACAAACGCAUUUGUUCUAAAGGCCCGACAGGCCGAGGACCAAAGAAAGGAGACGAGCUAGGUCAAGAUCAGGUCAACUAUAUAAGGAAGGGGAGAAGCACCAAGAAAGGGAUCUGCAAAUAACCACACACACUUACUUUCGGCUAGAACUAGGGUUUUAUUUCUGUUUCUCGCUGACUUGUACCCUCCAGCGAACUAGCUUUCGUUGGUUUGUUUUCUACCGUUUCUUUCCUCAUUUGUAAAUCGACCGAACGAUUCUUUGAUCUAAUAAACACUUUUGUCUCGACCCACUGACGAUUUAUCGUCUUCUUUUCACUAGUUUCCAGACAGAUCUCGGUUCAAAC